rnacentral:rRNA from 1 species
UACAGAGGGUGCAAGCGUUAAUCGGAAUCACUGGGCGUAAAGGGCGCGUAGGCGGCCAUUCAAGUCAGAGGUGAAAGCCCAGGGCUUAACCCUGGAAUUGCCUUUGAUACUGUUUGGCUUGAGACCGGAAGAGGUAAGUGGAACUGCGAGUGUAGAGGUGAAAUUCGUAGAUAUUCGCAAGAACACCAGUGGCGAAGGCGGCCAACUGGUCCGGUACUGACGCUGAGGUGCGAAAGCGUGGGGAGCGAACAGG